rnacentral:lncRNA from 1 species
GGCCCCCGACCGCGUGGGCCCUGGCCCCACGGGCGCCCCGGCCUACCCGGUGGAGACCCGGGCUCGCGUCCCGCCGCCCGCGGGGCAGGUUGGCGCUCUUCUCUGCGCGCCUUCUGCUGCCCUUUGCAGAGCUCGGAAGAAUGAUACAUCCAGAAAGGGAUAAACAGCAGCAGGGAGCAUACCUGGACCGAUGGCUGUGUGGACAGAACCAAGUUAAUGAGCGUUGCAUGUGUUCUGUCUCACGGUCUUGUGGUGACUGCAGCAAACUCUGUGCCCUGCCACUUUCUCCAUGAUCCCCCUCCUCCCUAGGGAUGAAGAUCAACCCAGUCAAUGUUAGUAUGGUCUGGGAGCAGAAAGCAGAACGCGGGGCCGAUAUAAAUUCAGUGAAGGAGCAGAAUCCUUGACAAGAACAAUGAGAAGUCAGAGUGAUCCUUCAGAAACCAAUCAUGGUAUUUUUACAUUUAAAUACCUUCAAUGGUUUGUUCCACAUUUUACUCAGAACAAAAAAGUUCUCAUAAUGGACUCUAAGGCCCCAGGUCAAUUGCCGCCUACCCCGAACACUGACACUGGACAAAAGCUGCAACUACUUACCUUAUACAAGCCUCACUCUCAUAUCCUGCUUAAACUCUCCCCUGGCAGUUUGCAUUCUGGUUUCUUCUCACAGCUGCUAGUACUUGAAUGGCAUAUGCUAGAAAUAAGGGUGUGGAAAAGCAGAGCAAAGUGAUGGUCUACUUAGAUGUGAAGAGCGAAUCUGCAAUGAGAAUUUCCCCCUGCUGUCUUUUCAUCCAGCUCAAACUUAGAUAUUUUGGACUCAGCUUGAAAUUUUAGAAGCGCAAAGAUAUUUAUUUCAGCUGAAUCUUUCCCACCAUGUGACUCAUGAGGCACAUAAGAUGAUUUUAGUUUUUGUGUGGACAAUUUUUUUAUCGCAUCAGUUAUGGAUAUAUUUUAAUGAGCACUGAAAAUGUUAUUCAUCCCUUAAAUCUAUGCUAUCAUUGUUAUUUGCUUUGGAUGAAGUCAAGUGAAAACAGUGAGCCAAUUUAUGGGGUAAUAAUAUAUAAAUAAUUGUACCAAGGGUGCAUGACUUUGGUACAAAUCAUGACAGUGGCUCAGAAAUUACUGGCAUUUGUGAAAUACUAUUUUAGUUCUUCCCUUUCCCUCAGCCUCAGUAUUGUCCCAUUACUGCUGUGUGGUGAGAGAGACAGAUGGGGCAGCAUUUCAGAAACACCAGCAGAGUGUGGAAAUGUUGGUGCUAGGUACUGACCACUCUGGUAUCAUUUCCAGCAAUCUAACUUACAGAGAUCUGGACUUGGAUUGUGUAACAAAUCAAAUCCUGGCUGACGGCAAAUCAGCCACGUACCUCAAGAGUAUUCAGAGAGGAAGACAGAGGUAUCGAGGAGGUCUAAUCGUGUAGCAGGGAUGCUCAUAAAUUUUUAAAAAUUUUUGUAUUCAUGUGCUGGGUGUGGAGAUUGGUGGCCAGAUCAAAUAUAGACACGAGAUGAUGAUCAUGUUUCAAUGCAGAACCAUACAGUUUCAAUCAAGCUAGGAUCUGUCAAGAAAAACAUGCAAAACCCAGCCCGUUAAGAGAAAUGCAGUCUUUCCCAGCUCAAUUAUCAUUACCCAACCUCUUUGGUCACAUUUUCUUUGAUUCAGAGCCCCAUCCAUCAUGUUUGGAGGUGUCCUUCACCACUUGUUUAGUUGUUUCAAGGCCAAUACUCACCUACCACCUGUAUUUCGCAUAAAACUCAUGAAAACAUUUUUCUUUGUAUGAAAACUAGAACGGACAUGCAAACCACUUGCUCCAGGUGAAGGGAGACCUCUGAAGGCACAGGGGGAGUUAAGUGAGUUGCAAAAUCUACAAGAACGAAUGUCUUCACAUUGAAAAAAAUGGGCAUAGGAAAUACAAGGAAACUAUUCUUAGAUGAACUAUGAAGCCAGGUAGACAUAAAAAAUGCCCUUAUUUUUUUUUUCCCCGAUUAGAUACUCCAUCUUCACAUUAUCUUUCUCUGUGAUGAAUGUUCCUACUUUGGAAGUACUUUGUAGUGCUCUCUCUUAUUCCAAGCAACCUGCUGUGCCUUGAUGCUUAGCUUUCCAAGCGUACCCUUUGAUACUUCUUCUAUUGUGAGUAUUCUCAGUCCAUAAAACUCCCUUCUGAGACAUUUUUCUCACGCAAUUCCUACAUUUUUGGCACUGGGUCCUGCAGACUUAAAGGUCUAGAAACUUAAAGGUGAUGUUGUUUUAAGAAUACACUCAGGAUGUCCCUAUGUUUUACAUAUCAAACAAACAAAAACUCUUAUCCUCCAACCUCCAGAAAAUCCAAGGCAAAAUAAAAUUGAUUAUGCUUCUACUUCCUGCUGUGAAAAAUGUGUAGUUUUGUCAUAUUCUUUAUCAGUUGUUGCAAAAACACAUUUCGUCUAUCCCAAACCAAUAUUACUUAUUUGUAUAUGGUGUUAGUUUCUUGUUGUUGCUGUAAUAAAUUCCUAUAAAAAUAUUUAUUAUCUUAACAGUUCUGAAGGUCAAAUCCAGAAUGAGUCCACUGAGACAAAAAUCAAGAUAUUGGCAAGGCUGCAUUCCUUCUUGAGACCCUGACAGGAGUGGGGGUAGGGGGAUGGGAACAUCAAUUUUCUUCCUUUUCUGCCCCCAUAGGUUACCUGCCUUUAUCUGCCUCCUCUUCAAGGCCUCCAAUUUAGCG